rnacentral:rRNA from 1 species
CACGGGUGAGUAACACGUAUCCAACCUGCCGUCUACUCUUGGACAGCCUUCUGAAGGAAGAUUAAUACAAGAUGGCAUCAUGAGUCCGCAUGUUCACAUGAUUAAAGGUAUUCCGGUAGACGAUGGGGAUGCGUUCCAUUAGAUAGUAGGCGGGGUAACGGCCCACCUAGUCUUCGAUGGAUAGGGGUUCUGAGAGGAAGGUCCCCCGCAUUGGAACUGAGACACGGUCCAA